AGUAGUUUGAUCAGUGGCUCGAGGACGAACGCUGGCGGCGUGCUUAACACAUGCAAGUCGAACGGGAAGACAUUUCUAACACCGAGUAGUUGAGGUGUGAUUAACACUUGGCUAUUGGGUGUUAGAAAUGGAUUCUAGUGGCAAACGGGUGAGUAACGCGUAGGCAACCUGCCCUUCAGAUGGGGACAACAUUUCGAAAGGAAUGCUAAUACCGAAUGAUGUGCAUUGGUCGCAUGACCUAUGUACCAAAGGCCGGGCAACCGGUCACUGAAGGAUGGGCCUGCGUCUGAUUAGCUAGUUGGUGGGGUAACGGCCCACCAAGGCGACGAUCAGUAGCCGGUCUGAGAGGAUGAACGGCCACAUUGGGACUGAGACACGGCCCAAACUCC
rnacentral:rRNA from 1 species